rnacentral:rRNA from 1 species
CAGCAGCCACGGUAAUACGUAGGGUGCAAGCGUUAAUCGGAAUUACUGGGCGUAAAGCGUGCGCAGGCGGUUUUGUAAGUUUGUCGUGAAAUCCCCGGGCUCAACCUGGGAAUGGCGAUGAAGACUGCAAGGCUAGAGUUUGGCAGAGGGGGGUAGAAUUCCACGUGUAGCAGUGAAAUGCGUAGAUAUGUGGAGGAACACCGAUGGCGAAGGCAGCCCCCUGGGUCAAAACUGACGCUCAUGCACGAAAGCGUGGGGAGCAAACAGGAUUAGAUACCCGUGUAGUCCCUGUCUCUUAUAC